GGGAGGGGGUGACUAGUGACAGAGUGAGAGAGAGGGUGACUAGUGACAGAGUGAGAGAGAGGGUGACUAGUGACAGAGUGAGGAAGGGGGUGACACAGUGACAGAGUGAGGGAGGGGGUGACUAGUGACAGAGUGAAGGAGGUGGUGACUGUCACUAGUCACCCCCUCCCUCUCUCUCUCUGUCACUAGUGACACCCUCCCUCACUCUGUCACUAGUCACCCCCUCACUCUCUCUGUCACUAGUCACACCCUCCCUCUCUCUGUCACUAGUCACCCCCUCCC